CAACACCCUAAAAGCUAGCCCCCCAUUUAAAAACCAACAAACCCCCAUUAAUACCCCCAAAUAAAAAUAACAUCAACAAACAAACCAUUUUCCCCCCUUAGUAUGGGAGACAGAAAAGGAACACCGGCGCUAUAGAAAAAGUACCGCAAGGGAACGCUGAAAGAGAGAUGAAACAGCCCAGCAAAGGAAAAGAAAGCAGAGACUAAUACUCGUACCUUUUGCAUCAUGACUUAGCAAGCACCCCCAAGCAAAGAGCCCUUAAUGUUUGACCCCCCGAAACUGGACGAGCUACUCCAAGACAGCCUAUUAUAGGGCGAACCCGUCUCUGUGGCAAAAGAGUGGGAAGAGCUUCGAGUAGAGGUGACAGACCUACCGAGCCCAGUUAUAGCUGGUUGCCUGAAAAUUGAAUAGAAGUUCAGCCUAUUGAAUGCUUACACCAAAUUAGAGCACCCUCACCCCAAGGACAAAAGCAGUUAAUAGAGUUAUUCAAGAGGGGGACAGCUCUCUUGAACAAAGAUACAACUUUUAUAGAAGGCCAAAGACCAAAUAACCUAAAGGCCAAGUACCCAGGUGGGCCUAAAAGCAGCCACCCUAAUAGAAGGCGUUAAAGCCUAAGUACACAGCCCCCUAUAAUUUUGGUAAACUAAUCUUACACCUCUUAACACAUCAGGCCCUCCUACGCAAGCGUAGGAGAGAAACUGCUAAUAUGAGUAAUAAGAAAAAGACUUUCUCCUCGCCCCCGUGUAGCCAGAACAAACCCCAGCUGAAAAUUAACGCCCCAUAAUAAUGAAGGCACUGAGACACACAACAAUUAAACCAGAAAACCCCUCAGCCGACAGCGUUAGUCCCACACCGGAGGGCUCAAGGAAAGACUAAAAGGAAAAGAAGGAACUCGGCAAACCCUGGCCUCGCCUGUUUACCAAAAACAUCGCCUCUUGCAAUACUAGUAUAAGAGGUCCCGCCUGCCCUGUGACGAAAGUUUAACGGCCGCGGUAUUUUGACCGUGCGAAGGUAGCGUAAUCACUUGUCCUUUAAAUGGGGACCUGUAUGAAUGGCACAACGAGGGCCAUGCUGUCUCCUUUUCCCAGUCAAUGAAAUUGAUCUGUCCGUGCAGAAGCGGACAUAACAACAUAAGACGAGAAGACCCUAUGGAGCUUAAAGCACCGAAAUAGCCUAAGUCAAAACCCCCUAGUUAAAGGGAACAAACUAAGUAGAAACUAAAUCGCUGCUUUUGGUUGGGGCGACCGCGGAGCAAAACAAAACCCCCGCGCGGAACAGGCCACUAAAGCCUUAAAACUAGGGCCACAGCCCGAACAAAACGGAAAUUCCGACCCACAAGAUCCGGCAAUGCCGAUCAACGGACCCAGUUACCCUAGGGAUAACAGCGCAAUCCCCUUUUAGAGCCCAUAUCGACAAGGGGGUUUACGACCUCGAUGUUGGAUCAGGACUUCCUAAUGGUGCAGCCGCUAUUAAGGGUUCGUUUGUUCAACGAUUAAAGUCCU
rnacentral:rRNA from 1 species